GACGAACGCUGGCGGCGUGCUUAACACAUGCAAGUCGAACGGAAAGGCCCUGCUUGCCGGGUACUCGAGUGGCGAACGGGUGAGUAACACGUGGGUGAUCUGCCCUUCACUUCGGGAUAAGCCUGGGAAACUGGGUCUAAUACCGGAUAGGAGCCAUUUUUAGUGUGAUGGUUGGAAAGUUUUUUCGGUGUAGGAUGAGCUCGCGGCCUAUCAGCUUGUUGGUGGGGUAAUGGCCUACCAAGGCGGCGACGGGUAGCCGGCCUGAGAGGGUGGACGGCCACAUUGGGACUGAGAGACGGCCCAGACUCCGACGGGAGGCAGAAGUGGGGAAUAUUGCACAAUGGGCGCAAGCCUGAUGCAGCGACGCCGCGUGGGGGAUGACGGCCUUCGGGUUGUAAACUCCUUUCGCUAGGGACGAAGCUUUUUGUGACGGUACCUAGAUAAGAAGCACCGGCUAACUACGUG
rnacentral:rRNA from 1 species